AACGAACGCUGGCGGCAGGCCUAACACAUGCAAGUCGAGCGCUCACCUUCGGGUGGGAGCGGCGCACGGGUGAGUAACACGUGGGAACCUACCUUGAAGUACGGAAUAACUGAGGGAAACUUCAGCUAAUACCGUAUACGCCCUACGGGGGAAAGAUUUAUCGCUUCAAGACGGGCCCGCGUUGGAUUAGCUAGUUGGUGAGGUAAUGGCUCACCAAGGCAACGAUCCAUAGCUGAUUUGAGAGAAUGAUCAGCCACACUGGGACCGAGACACGGCCCAGGCUCCUACGGGAGGCAGCAGUGGGGAAUAUUGGACAAUGGGCGCAAGCCUGAUCCAGCCAUGCCGCGUGAGUGAUGAAGGCCUUCGGGUUGUAAAGCUCUUUCAGAUGGGACGAUGAUGACGGUACCAUCAGAAGAAGCCCCGGCUAACUUCGUGCCAGCCGCCGCAGUAACAC
rnacentral:rRNA from 1 species